UACAGAGGGUGCAAGCGUUGUUCGGAUUCACUGGGCGUAAAGGGUGCGUAGGUGGCAUGGUAAGUUUGAUGUGAAAGCUCAGGGCUUAACCCUGAAAUGGCAUUGAAUACUACUGUGCUGGAGGUUUGGAGGGGGGACUGGAAUUCUUGGUGUAGCAGUGAAAUGCGUAGAUAUCAAGAGGAACACCAGUGGCGAAGGCGAGUCCCUGGACAACACCUGACACUGAGGCACGAAAGCUAGGGGAGCAAACAGG
rnacentral:rRNA from 1 species